ensembl:lncRNA
UCCGGGUAAGUGACUGUCCUGGUACCACAUUUCCCAGACUCCUUUGCAGCUGGAUGUGGUCCUGAGACUCAGUUUUCUUCAGUGAAACAUAAAUCAAGGACCAAGUGUGACUUCUGCAAGUAAUUGCCUAGAGUGGAACUGCUGGUUGCAGAUUUCCUUUUCCUACUUGGCCGAUGAGAACUGUAGACUGGUGGCCUUUCUCUGCUGGAAUCCUCUAUUAGACAUGCUGACUUGUAGCAGUGUGUAUUCCUAUCCCGUAAUGAAAGAAGGGAGGCCGUUUGGAAAACUAGGAAACAGAAACCCGAAGCAAGCUGGCCAGCACUAAUGAAGAAAUGCUGGCCCCUGCUCCGUCCCGUCAGUUACAACGGAAGGCGCGCUCACUGACGAGGGCACAGGCGGCACGUUGACUGCAGGCGACGGACUCCCAUUUUCCCCAAACCUAGCGAGGUCAAACUCAAG